rnacentral:rRNA from 1 species
CCUGGCUUAGGAUGAACGCUAGCGACAGGCCUAACACAUGCAAGUCAGGGGCAGCACAGGAGCAAUCUGAGGUGGCGACCGGCGCACGGGUGAGUAACACGUAUGCAACCUGCCUGUAAGCGGGGAAUAACCCGUUGAAAGACGGACUAAUACCGCAUAAUACUAAAUUACUGCAUGGUAAUUUAUUUAAACAUUUAUGGCUUACAGAUGGGCAUGCGCAUGAUUAGCUAGUUGGAGAGGUAACGGCUCCCCAAGGCAACGAUCAUUAGGGGUUCUGAGAGGAAGGUCCCCCCACACUGGUACUGAGACACGGACCAGACUCCUACGGGAGGCAGCAGUGAGGAAUAUUGGUCAAUGGACGAGAGUCUGAACCAGCCAAGUCGCGUGCAGGAAGAAUGUCCUAUGGAUUGUAAACUGCUUUUGCAGGGGAAUAAAGUGCAUCACGUGUGAUGUUUUGUAUGUACUCUGCGAAUAAGGAUCGGCUAACUCCGUGCCAGCCGCGGC